GACGAACGCUGGCGGCGUGCUUAACACAUGCAAGUCGAACGAAGUGGCGAACGGGUGAGUAACGCGUGAGUAACUGCCCCCCUCUCUGGGAUAACAGUUGGAAACGGCUGCUAAUACCGGAUAGUGGGGGAUGACUCGCGUCCUAUCAGCUUGUUGGUGGGGUAGUGGCCUACCAAGGCGACGACGGGUAGCCGGCCUGAGAGGGCGACCGGCCACAUUGGGCUGAGAUACGGCCCAAACUCCUACGGGAGGCAGCAGUGGGGAAUAUUGCACAAUGGGGGAAACCCUGAUGCAGCAACGCGCGUGCGGGAUGACGGCCUUCGGGUUGUAAACCGCUUUCAGCCAUGACGCGGUAGUGGCAGAAGAAGCACCGGCUAACUACGUGCCAGCAGCCGCGGUAAUAC
rnacentral:rRNA from 1 species